rnacentral:tRNA from 1 species
GAAGGUAACAGCUCAGUGGUAGAACACAAGCUUAGCAUUCAUGAAGCCCUGGGUUCAAUUCCCAGUACCUUCA